UGGGGAAUUUUCCGCAAUGGGCGAAAGCCUGACGGAGCAAUACCGCGUGAGGGAGGAAGGCUCUUGGGUUGUAAACCUCUUUUCUCAGGGAAGAAUCCUGACGGUACCUGAGGAAUCAGCAUCGGCUAACUCCGUGCCAGCAGCCGCGGUAAUACGGAGGAGGCAAGCGUUAUCCGGAAUUAUUGGGCGUAAAGCGUCCGUAGGUGGUUUUUCAAGUCCGCUGUCAAAGACCGGAGCUCAACUCCGGAGAGGCAGUAGAAACUGAGGAACUAGAGACCGGUAGGGGUAGAGGGAAUUCCCAGUGUAGCGGUGAAAUGCGUAGAGAUUGGGAAGAACACCAGUGGCGAAAGCGCUCUACUGGGCCGGUACUGACACUCACAGGACGAAAGCUAGGGGAGCGAAAGGGAUUAGAUACCCCCGUAGUCC
rnacentral:rRNA from 1 species